GUCAUCAUCUGGUGCAAUCCUGCCUGCCCAUCACUUCAUCCCGAGUCUUUUUUCUCAUUGAGAACUUCUUUGGAGCAGGGAGGGCCAUUCCGGCAAAAAAGGUGAUUUCAGAAAACUUAUUUUAUAUGUUUCCAGUCAUAUUUGCUGAAUUUGUAGUUGUUUGCUAACACCUACAACAAAUUCUUCCUUCUGUGAGGUUUUAGGUUUGCUCUACUUAAUUGAUAUAUCAUUUUCUUGUUUCAAUGAACAUCACAACAAUAUUCUAGUUUAACUUGGUCUUGUCCUAAGACAACUAAAGGAAAAUUUUGAUAAAGCAAAAUCGUGAUCACCAGAUUCAUGGUUUAAUCCUUAUUAUUUUUCGUGGUCUUUACAUCUUUUACUCUUUGUGUUUAUGGCCAUGAUCUAUUCACCUAAGUUAUAGCGUGCCUGUGGUUGUCUAUGGAUUUUUAAUGUAUAUUGUGUAAAUUUAACUGAUAGUGAAAAUAUCUACCACCAGUGCUAAUUAGAUUUUUUUUGUAGGGUUUUAUAUUUUCUUUCUAACUGUACAACAAGGUAACACUUUUACAAGCAAAUAAGAAUGUUUAAAACCAAAAACUUCCUUAGCUAUGGAGACAGAGGUAAAGACAUAGCCUGUAUUGAAAAUUACAAUGUGGAGGUUAUUCCUCGUUAUAACCGGCCUGGAGGUGGGACAUCAAUUUUUUAUUACUCUGUAGAGGUUAAUUUUAUAUAGAGUAUUGAUAUAUAUAUAUAUAUAUAUAUAUAUAUAUAUAUUUAUGUAUGUAUGUAUGUAUUUGUGUGCAUAUAUAUAUAUAUGUUAUAUACUUGUGGUUCACUCUUAUUAUAUAUACAACUACUAUAAAUUACUCACUCCGUCUUAACUAAUUCUUGAUACUUUCCUUUCCUAGACUGUCCCUCUCAAUUAUUUAAAAGGUCGGUCAAUGUUUUAUUUUUUAUGGCUUAUUUUAAAGCCAAGCACAUUAUUGAUUAUACAUUCUAGACUUUUAGUCAAAAACAAACUCUGAAACACCUAGUCGCCUCAAUCAACCUCUACAAAUCCUCAACAAAGCACUAGUAACUACCAACGACUACAAAUCUAUCACUGCUAAUUCAAUUUUAUAUGAGUUUUUUAUGUAAAUUUUAUGCUCAAUGAUAGGGUUACGGCUGAGUUGUGUGUUCUAGGGCUAUUUGGCGAUCCCCUUGAAUUUCUCCAUGAAAUCUUACCAUUGCGAUAAUUAGUAUAGUGGCAGAUGACAAUUUAAGGGCGGUCAAUGUAGAGAGAGAGGUAUGAAACCUUCUUAAUAUUUUAUAUUUCUUUUUAACUAUUUAGAGGGUAUGAUUUUUCAAAUAAUCAAUACUUUAUUUUUUGCUUUAUUGCAGAAGGAGAAUAGUUCAUAAUUUGUUGCAUAUCGACAUAAACUUAGUGCCUUCUCUCUUAUAUUUCGAUUUUCUUCUUGUCACCAUCCUUUACUUGCAUGUGCCUUGGCAAAAAUAAUGCAAGAUGAGGGAAAUCGUUGUAGUUGUAAAGAUGAAAAUCCAGUGUGACAGCUUAUAUGUAUGAUAAAUAGUGACAAUCAACAUGUGGUAUGUAAGUCCCUACUAUUUUUUAGAGUGAGAAUGAAUCUCAAGGGAAUUGAUUGAGCAACAUCUUGACCGUUCAUUCAAGAAAGUUAUCAUCUAACCAUCGGACAUGCAAGAUGACCGGAGACAUUUAGACAAUAAUGAUUUUAUGUCCGAAAAGAAAAGACCCAUCUUCUUCCAAGCAUCCUAAAAAAAUGAAUGAACGAAAGAAGUAAAAUAAAAGUCGAUAUAUAACAGAUUAUAUAUAUAUAUAUAUAUAUAUACACACACAUUAUAAAAUAAUUAAGUAUAUUAUAUCCAAUAAUAAAUAAAUAUUAAAUAUUAAAAGCGUGUGUGUAUAUCAUUUAUGAAGAGAAAGAUAAUAAAAUAAAGUCUAAGCAAACCAAGAUCUUUGGUUAGACACUAAAGGAAAUAAGAUAAUAUAUAGAAAAUUUAAUUUAAAAAACAUCGAAUAAGCCAACAAAUGACACUUAAUUGCCAUUUAAAAGUGAACACAUACGCAUUAAUCAAUCAUAGCCACCCAUAAAUGGUACUAAAAUAGGCAUCAAUCAAAGCCACGAUUAACAUUCAAACUGAUUAACAGAGAUUUAUGACAUUUUUAAAUAAUUUCAAAUUAUUUCCACUUAUACAAAAAGUGAUAACAUCUGUGUAAUAAAGAAGAAAUUCUAAUUAAAAAAAACUAAAAGAACUUAUACCAAAUCCUUAAAAAUCUAAACAAGACAUCUAUUAAUAUAUGAUAUAAAAAUUACUAAAAAAGAAGAAAAUUUUCAAAAUUCAAAAUAUUAAUAAUUAAUGAGUCAAUCACUAUCUAAGAACAUAUCACAUUAUACAAUUUGCCUUUACUACAAUCAAACUAAUCUAUCAAUUUAAAUGUAGACAAUUAAAAGAAACGAAAAAAUUAAAUACAAUUCUAUAAAAUUGAAAACAUAAAUCAUGCCUAAAUUUUAGUCAAUAAUAUCACCACCGCAUACCGCCAUGGAACCACACCACUUAACCGUUAUCACAUAUCUCGUAACAAACAACAUAUUAACAUCUAAAACAAAAACCUAGCUCUAGGCACGAUCAUAUAUUAAAAGACCAUUGUUACGCUAACAAAUAACAAAAUGCAAUGAGUUUAUUAAAGAAAAUAGUGAUAUUAAAAUUCCGCAGUAUAUAUCUAAAUUACAACGGAUCACAUAUAUAAACAAGUAGGAUUAUGAAUUAGAAAAAAUACACAUUAGUUUUUGUGGAGUAUAUUCACACAAAAUGAUUCUUCAUCGAAUUUGAUGUUUCAAUCGAAUAUUUUUUGUCCAUUACCUCGAUAUUUGACUAUUUCCUCAAUAUAGUUAGUCCGGGUGACGACACAAGUCAAUUACACUCAGAAAUAAGCUCACUAAAUGAAUUUCCAAAAGUGGAUCUGUAAUUAUGUUAAUUUACGGAUCAUAGGCUUCGUAAAAGAUCCAUGAGUCCAUAAGCAUUAUCCAGAGGCCUCAAACAUUGUGAUGCCAAUCCAGCCCACAUUGAAAGAUUAAUAUCGGGGCAAAGUUGGAUGGACAUGUGUCAUCAUAUGAUACGAUCCCAACCCGUCACCUCCACCCCUCUAUAUAUUUUACCUAUUGCUUCCCUACGGGCUAUGGUCCAUUCUCUUUACAUAAAUUUUAAAGGGCGCCUCCGGUGGGUCAUUUGUGGCGAACAAGAUCAACCCUACUGGUUGUUUCGGUGAGUUCCGUCACUCUCAGAUCUCCAACAUGUAAUUUUUUUCUCUAUGAGGAAUGUAGCUUUUUUUUUUAAUUGAGUUAUAUAUUACUUAUUUCGCUAGACAUGACAACAAGAUGUCAAUUUAAUUUGUUUAUUCGGAAAACCGCAGGAAGGAAUUCAUAAUCGAAAAUCAUAUGGUCAUCAUCUUGAUUUAACAAUUACUCCCUCCGUCUCCUUCAUUUGUUUACAUUGGGGGACGGAGGCUUGGCACGCAUUCUAAUGCUAUCGUAAAAUGUAGUUGAUAAAUUAUUUUGAACUUUUAUCUUUUCUGAAUAAAAUUUGAUGUUUAAACUUUUAUACAAAAAAGAAAUUUUUAAUUUUUUUUAAUAAAAUUAUGUUUUAUAUGCGCCUUAAAAUGCGUGUCGAUCAGUGUAAAAAAACUGUAAAGAAAUGAGAGGGACAGAGGGAGUAAUAUUUAAUAACAGUUUGUGUAUUGUCUUAACUCGUAAGAUAAAAAUUACGUUUGCAAGCCUGCUAGUUAAUUUGGUACUUCUAUAUUAUUGUUACUGAUCUUCUAAUCAAAUUGCUUCAGUGUUUCCCUUUCACUGCCUUGAUUUUAUAUUUUCUGUUUGUUAUUCUACAAUUGUCAAGUCUCUAUGGUUUUCUUUACCCAAAAACUUCACAGUGUUUAUUGCUGAUUGUUAAAUAUAACGCAGUGCUUUUCUAUUGUGAAAAUAUAUUUGUAUUUUAUAAGCAAUUGAACAGCAGUUGUAGAGAUAUUCCGAGAAGUAACAUUACUUUGAUAUUCUGAUGUACAAGUCCCAGUCUAUGAAUCUAUAAACCAUAAGUAUAUAAAUCUACUAAUGCAUCUAUUACACCAACACCUGACAGAGAAACAAGUAUAGACAUAGCAAUAUUUUGGUCUUUUGGAUUUGCUUUCAACCCUUCAGUUAGAAUUGAUGACUCCUAUUGAUUUCUUAUAUUAAUAUUCUUUUUUACCCGCAAAAAACAUGUAUUAUUUUUGGAUUUUCCUUUUUUACCCGCAAGAAACAUGUAUUAUUUUUGUUGUAUAUAUGUAUAUAGAUUAUUCUUUUUUACCCGCAAAAAAGGAAACAUACUUGUAGCUAGCUCCGCAUGAUUGAAAGGUUUAUCAGCUUUUUUGGUUUUAGAUCAUUUCAUUUCUCCGUCUAUCUCGUAAGCUCUUUUGGGUUUUCAAACAGAAAUUUUUUCUGGAUAUUAAACAUUACAUUUCAACCAAAGGAUGAGGGGCCCCUAUUAUGCCUUUCAUGUCGUCUCGUGUUAAACCUUAAGGAAGCGCGUCCUUACAGUUGAGGAUAAGGAAGAUACGUAAUGUGAACAUCUUACUGUCCGCAGACCCAGUUUUCAUGUGUGAUAUAUAUUGAUUUUAUGGCUUAUAUUGCAUUUUUUAUGUAUUUGUGUCAAUAUUCUUUGCUGUCGUGAGUUAAAAAAAUUAUGUUAAUUUUAUGUUUGUGAUGCUAGUGAAAGUAAGUAGGGUAGGCAAAAAAAUUGUUUCCAUGCUGUCUAAAAGCAUGAAAAAUAUUUCUACAAACUGUUAACAGGAACAGUACUUGUCUAAAAGCAGCACUAGGGAGCCUCAAGUUAUUUCCAGUCAGGCUUAAGAGCUUUGGAAGUAUCCCAGCGGGAUGGAAGUGGAUUGGAGACCUAACCUUGGUGGGAUGGAAAAGGCAUUUAGCAUGAAUGUGAUGAUGCUGAUUGUUAAAUAUUUUGCGGGAUGCUCGAUAACACACUGGUAACUUUUCUUUAAAUCUGCUCUAUAUUAGUAUUGUGAUCUGUAUCUUUAAGUUUUUAAGUCCUUGAUAUGAGGCAUCAAAUCUUUACUUUUCAUUAGUAGCAAUCGCAAGUUUGGGAGACUGAAGUCACUGAACCUGUGUUAAUUGUUAUUAUACCAAAGCUAAAUGUCCCAAGAAGUCCAUAUAUGCAGCAAAGCAAAGCAUAAGCAUUCCUUUGGAAAAUAAAAGGUUUAAUUCCAAGUUAAAAAUAUAUUAUACUAAACAUGGAUUUUCCUCCAAGUCAAAACUCACAUAGAUUUAAUGUUCUUUACCUUUUACUUUCUGUUUUGAAUAGUUGCCUAUUCAAAUCUUAUGAACAACAAGUCUAUGCAGUAUGCGGUGCUUUGCAUUUGAAUUAGCUUCCAGCACACUUUAUUAUCUCCUUUUUAUAAGCUGCAGAACUUUUGAAGCGCAGAUAGUGUGUUAUAAGUUUGGGAUAUUGUAUACUGUCUUUUUACUUAAUUCUGUUAUCCAUUUUAUAGUUAACUAUGAUUAGGCUUUUGCAUCUAAUUUUUGGUUCUCCUCUAAUUUUUGUCUUAUAUUCGUAAAAAUCUUGUAAUGGAUGACUCUAACCUGAAGAAGAUCUUUAAAAGUAAUGAAUUCCAUUAGUGACAAAGUACUCUGUUUUUCUAUAGAGAAAAAGUCUGAACUUUACAAAGAUAAAAAAAAUAUAUGAAUGGGCAUGUUCAGUUUCCCUUUGUAAUGAGUUCUGCAUUUCCCUAUUUCUGUAAAGGAGUCCUGCACCAGCUACAAAACAAAAAAGAAAACGAAAAGAGAUCUGCAGCAGAUCAAGUGACAGAGUUUGCGGAGCAUGGGAUAGUCUUCCUGAUGAACUCCUCCUUUCAGUUCUAAUGAAAUUGAAUAUUAUCGACUACCUUGCCUUCAGUGGUGUGUGUAGAUCCUGGAGGUCAGUGUCUACUGAUAUUCGCAAAAGUUUUAUGGAGCGUCUGCAACC
rnacentral:lncRNA from 1 species